CCUACGGGUGGCAGCAGUGAGGAAUAUUGGUCAAUGGGCGAGAGCCUGAACCAGCCAAGUCGCGUGAGGGAAGACGGUCCUAUGGAUUGUAAACCUCUUUUGCCGGGGAGCAAAAAGCGGUACGUGUACCGCAUCGAGAGUACCCGGAGAAAAAGCAUCGGCUAACUCCGUGCCAGCAGCCGCGGUAAUACGGAGGAUCCGAGCGUUAUCCGGAUUUAUUGGGUUUAAAGGGUGCGUAGGCGGUUUGAUAAGUUAGAGGUGAAAUGUCGGGGCUCAACCCCGAAACUGCCUCUAAUACUGUUGGACUAGAGAAUAGUUGCGGUAGGCGGAAUGUAUGGUGUAGCGGUGAAAUGCUUAGAGAUCAUACAGAACACCGAUUGCGAAGGCAGCUUACCAAACUAUAUCUGACGUUGAGGCACGAAAGCGUGGGUAGCAAACAGGAUUAGAUACCCCUGUAGUC
rnacentral:rRNA from 1 species